rnacentral:lncRNA from 1 species
CGGGUACGCCGACAAACCGCCGAACGGACAGAGUUUCUCCUAUACGUCCUAUGUGUCGCAAUCAAUACAACACAAGAGGUUCCAAUACAAUAUUCAAUAUACAGAUUGCAUAAGGAAGUAUCAAAAAUAUAAACACCUAAAUUAUUACAUACAUUCACCAGCUUACAUUCAACUUUUACAUAUUACAUUAAAUUUCCAAAUACAAUCUAAGUUAUUACAAGUUUACAAUUUGAUACAUUU